rfam:Stegodyphus mimosarum contig32767, whole genome shotgun sequence.
GCCUUCGUGGUGUAGUGGUCUGCAUGAUCGACGCGUAACCGAGAGGUCCGUGGUUCGAUUCCCGGCGAAGGCG